GUGAAUCAUCGAAUUUUUGAACGCAAAUUGCACUUUCUGGUAUUCCGGAAAGUACGCCUGUUUGAGGGCCAGUUAAAUAAAAAUCGGUGUUGUUGCUGCUUCUCGUGGUGACGCGUCGGAAUUGAGUUGUCUUACCUUUGGCUAAGUGACUUAAAAUUUUGCACGCUUUUCGAACGUAUUCAAAUUUCUUAUGUAAGUUUGAGAUAUCGACUAAUUAAUUAGGUUCGUUACUCCUCUCGAUUCGAACCUA
rnacentral:misc_RNA from 1 species